UUUCUUCUUCCUUCCUUCUGUUUUCUUUCUUUCUCAGCAGCGACUACCGCUGUCGCCGCCUUCGCUUCCCCUCUCCUCUCUCAGCCAUCAUCAAUGAAAAGAAAGAAAGAAAAGGUAAAUGAUAUCUCUGGAACCCCUCUUCUUUUGUUUUUUUUUUCAAUUUCACCAGAUCCGGGCUUGCAAGCCCCGAUCUGUAGAUUUAAGGUUUGAAACGUUUUUCUUAUUUUGUGGAUUUAAUUUAUUAUGUAGUUGAUUUAUUUGUUAGGGGAGGAAACUAGCGGCGAGGAAGAAUAUGACCCUCGGUCGGCGGCAGCGGCGGAGAAACAAAGAUAGACAGAAAGCACGCUUCGUAAAAAAUUCAGUCUUGUCUAUUUUUGUUGAUUUCUGUUUUGUUGAUAAGCCGCCUAAAAAACUUGAUUAGUUUUGUUAUUGGGAUUGUAGUAGUAGUCUAAGUGUUUUAACAAAGUUCUGUUUUGUAGAAAACUUGACUUUUUGCUAAUUUUUUAAAAAAAUCAGCAUCCUUGUUUAGUCGAAUAAUCUAUAUUUUAACUCGAUUAUACUGCGAGUUUCAUAGCUUUUUGGAUCUAUGGGGAGGAAAAAAUGGUGAAAGAUGGCUAUAGGUUUCUUUGCUAGCAUAUUUUU
rnacentral:lncRNA from 1 species